UACGUAGGGGGCAAGCGUUAUCCGGAUUUACUGGGUGUAAAGGGAGCGCAGACGGCAGUGCAAGUCUGGAGUGAAAGCCCGGGGCUCAACCCCGGGACUGCUUUUGAAACUGUGUGACUGGAGUGCAGGAGAGGUAAGCGGAAUUCCUGGUGUAGCGGUGAAAUGCGUAGAUAUAUGGAAGAACACCAGUGGCGAAAGCGGCUCUCUGGUCUGUAACUGACGCUGAGGUUCGAAAGCGUGGGUAGCAAACAGG
rnacentral:rRNA from 1 species